UGGUUGGCUAAAAUACCCAUAAACCACUUACUCGUUGACUCUUUCCAGUUUUAUUUACAAUCCUCAAUUCCCAUUGGUUGAUGACCCCAAACCCAAUCCCAAUUCGUCUCGUAGCUUCCCUUCCGUUUCUCUCAUCUUCUGUGUCUCUGCUCUCAUUGACACUUGUCCCUUUACAAUCCAGUUUGAGAAAUUUAUACUUAUAUGCAUUUGCGUAAAAUUCAAAGCUUUUUAUUAUUUCUUUGCAAUAAAAUUGGGGGGUUAGGAAGUGACUCAUUGAUGAUGUGCAAUCAUACACAGCUUUAUUUGAUUAGGAAUGGGCUUCUAUAAUUAUAAUCCCAUCAACGGAAGAUAGCCGAAAUGUUAUGGGUAACGAUGCUGACAUUAUCAUAGCAUCGAAAACCGAAAUUUUGGGAAUUUCGUGUCUAUCUUACUCUAUCUCGGUUGCUUUAUAAUUUUUUUUAUUAUAAAUAAAUAGAUGGCAACGGCUUCAUUAAUACAUGCUCCAUGUGGGUAUUCACGGAAAUUUAGUUAUAACUUGAGAAAUGGAGUUUAUGGAGGAGCUGCAGGUUCCACCUCAUAUUCACCGUCCUCUUCUUCCUGUUCUUGUUGUUCUUCUCAAGGACUAAACUUCUCUUCCGGUGUAAAGAGUAAUUGCAAAGGUCAAGGCCUCAGAGCUCAAGCUAUGAACACUACAAUCCAAGGAAAUUUUGCAUCACCAAAGGCGAUCGUGAAUAGUAAUACUGAGCCUGAUCAUCUUCUUGUCCUUGUUCAUGGCAUCUUGGCUAGCCCGAGUGACUGGACAUAUGUAGAAGCAGAGUUGAAAAGGCGGCUCGGGAGAAACUUUCUAAUUUAUGCAAGUGCGUCUAAUACCUACACUAAAACCUUUUCUGGGGUUGAUGGAGCUGGAAAGCGACUGGCAGAUGAAGUUAUGCAAGUUGUAAAGAAGAAAGAUAGUUUGAAAAGGAUUUCCUUUUUAGCCCAUUCUCUCGGUGGAUUGUUUGCAAGAUAUGCUAUUGCUGUGCUUUAUUCAGAGGCUGCCUUAAGUACUGGCCAAUCUAGUGAUACUACUGAUUCUACACUGCCUAGUUCACAAGCAGUGCGAGCUGCAAGACGAGGUACAAUUGCUGGGUUGGACCCAAUCAACUUUAUUACCCUGGCAACUCCACAUCUUGGAGUGAGAGGAAGAAAGCAGCUUCCAUUUCUCCUGGGAAUUCCCAUUUUAGAGAAACUUGCUCCACCAAUUGCUCCGAUUUUUACUGGUCGAACUGGUAGUCAACUUUUCCUGACUGAUGGUAAACCUAACAAACCACCUCUUCUGUUAAGAAUGGCAUCAGACUGUGAAGAUGGAAAAUUUAUAUCUGCCCUUGGUGCAUUUGGAUGUCGCAUCCUGUAUGCAAAUGUAUCUUAUGAUCAUAUGGUUGGUUGGCGUACAUCCUCCAUAAGAAGAGAGAAGGAACUUGUCAAGCCACCUCGGCGUUCUUUAGACGGUUACAAGCAUGUUGUAGAUGUUGAGUAUUGUCCACCACUCUCUUCCGAAGGCCCUCAAUUUCCUCCAGAAGCUGUCAAAGCUAAGGAGGCAGCGCAAAAAGAACCCAAUACGCGAAACACAGUGGAGUAUCAUGAAAUCAUGGAAGUUUGUUAACAGAGGAAAUGAUACAUGGAUUACAGCAGCUGGGAUGGAAAAAGGUCGACGUUAGCUUCCAUUCAGCAUUUUGGCCCUUCUUUGCCCAUAAUAACAUACAUGUGAAAAAUGAAUGGCUUCACAAUGCUGGUGCUGGAGUAAUUGCUCAUGUUGCAGACAGCCUGAAGCAGCAGGAAACCUCUUCACUAAUUAUUGCUAGCUUGUAGCUAUUGAGCAGUAAUGCUAGUACUAUUAUAGUUGGAAAAAUGAUAAAAUUAUUUGCAAAAUGUAGAUUUAUAAGAAGGGAAAUUUUUAUUCCUGUUCGCCAUGCCCAUGUUGAUUUUUCUUUUUUUUGUUUUUAAAACAUUGUGCAUGCUCAGAAAGCAAUAUCCAGGUAUUGAUGAUUGAUCUA